GACAACAGCAGGUUCUAUUAAAAAAAAAAAAGGAAAUGGAGAGUAGAAGAAUCGGGAAAGAGGAAGAAAAGGGGAAGAAAGGAAAAGAAAGAAAGAAAGAAAGAAAGAAGCAGAAGAAGAGAAGGGAAGAGGGAGGAAAGAUGGCUGGAUUUUUAGAGUUUCUCUAGCACGAAAGGACACCAACAAGGGGAAAAGAGAGAGAGUGGUCUAAAAAGCAAGAAAUUUGAGAGAUAAAUGGAGAAGAUGAUGAAUACGAGCAAAAACAGAGGUUGAGCAGGGGCAGUAAAUUUGUCUUCCUUCCAGAUGAUCUCUUGCUUUUAUAGAGGCUAAGGUGGAGCAAAUCCGUGUGAUUAAGUUGUGGUUAGACUGUUUUGGAUCCGCUUUGUGUCUGAAGGUCAAUCUAAACAAAUUGUAAAUCUUACUUUAUGAAUGUGGGGUUGAAUUAGAGGUAAAAGAUUUACGGUCUUAUGGGUAAGAAGAUUACUGAUGAAAUUGGGACUUACUUUGGGGUAUCCCAUGAUCUAGGGUGGGGUUAACAAACAUGUGUUUAAUCCUUUGUUUAGUACGGUGGACAAUUAUCAGGUAGGUUGGAAAAUGAAUAUACUUUUGUAUGCUUGUAGAGUGACAUUGGCUAAAUCUAUUCUUUCCUAAUCAUCUUAUGCAAUCUCUAUAACUUACUUGAGUUGUGUUUAAUGAAUUUGAUAUGAAAGUUUGUAGUUUUAUAUUUAUUUUAAUAAUAUAUAAAUAAUUAUAUA